rnacentral:rRNA from 1 species
CCUACGGGAGGCAGCAGUGGGGAAUAUUGGACAAUGGGGGCAACCCUGAUCCAGCCAUGCCGCGUGAGUGAAGAAGGCCCUAGGGUUGUAAAGCUCUUUCAGAUGUGAGGAUGAUGACAGUAGCAUCAGAAGAAGCACCGGCUAACUUCGUGCCAGCAGCCGCGGUAAUACGAAGGGUGCUAGCGUUGUUCGGAAUUACUGGGCGUAAAGGGCGUGUAGGCGGAUGAUCAAGCUAGGGGUGAAAGCCCAGGGCCCAACCCUGGAACUGCCUUUAGAACUGAUUGUCUAGAAUCCGUAAGGGGAGUGUGGAAUUCCUAGUGUAGAGGUGAAAUUCGUAGAUAUUAGGAAGAACACCAGUGGCGAAGGCGGCACUCUGGUACGGUAUUGACGCUGAGGCGCGAAAGCGUGGGGAGCAAACAGGAUUAGAUACCCUAGUAGUC